ensembl:lncRNA
CUUCAACUCACUAUGUAGCCCAGGAUGGCCUCAAACUCAGUAAUCCUCCUGCCUCAGCCUCCCAAGUCCUAGGAUUACAGCACCCCUGGGAGUACUACCACUCUGGCUCUCUCAUAUGUUUUUGUAAAACAUAAUUGUGGCCCAAUGGGAGGAGAGCCGAGCAGAGGACUGCAUGGUGAGGAUGGCACUGGCAGGCAUGCAGCACCCCUCAAGGGAGCCCCCAGAAUGGGACUUCCUGGACAGCCACCCCAUCCACAUGGACUCCCUCCUGUACCCCUCUGGAGCCUGCAUUCCCGCCCUGCAGGAGGGGAUGGUACUAAGGUGAGCUCUGUGGUCAGCACCCAGUGGCACUUGGCCACUGUGGCCCCAAGUCUCGGGAAGGUAUGAGCCCUGCCUCAGCCUGCUCACAACUCUGAGCGGCAGGGCACUGAGAAAAUCAGGCUCUCGGCAUCACUGCGGGGCAGAACUGGGGUCUCCAUGGCAGUGCUGACCCAGGCCUGCCAGAUUCCCUUCCAUCCCUGGCCGGCUGUAUUUGCCCCACUGAGCCCUGCA